UGAGGAUUUUGCUCCACAUUUCACAGAAUACUGCUUGUUAUUGACUGUACAGGGAUGUCUGGGAGACCAGCAUCCAGAGUUAGUCACCUGAACUAGAUGUGAAUUCUACCCAAAACAUGAACUAUCAUGUGCAGGCUUCCUUAAUUGAACAUCGUGGACGUCAUUUGUCAAAGGCAGAGCAUUGCAUGAACUAAGCAUAUUCCUGAGAGAAUGUGCAUCAGGAGCGGCUGAGUGGCCAUGUUGAAACCUUUCUGUGAAUUUGGUAACCUUCCAGAAGCCAUGCAUACCACCAGGUGGAAAACUGCAGCCUGAAUGUCAUAGUACAAGUAUUGGAAGAGUAAAGCCCAGCUCGUAGCAGAUAACCCAGAGCAAGCCACUAUUUGAAUGCAUUCACAUAAUGUGUUCGAUGAAUUAUUAGAGAAUAUGACAAAAUUUAUGUUUGUUUGCACGUCAUUUGAGAACAGAAAAUGGGGCAAAAGCUGUCAAACAAGGAGCUUGUUGUGAACAGUUCAGGCAGUAUUAGUCUUCUUUUAGGUGGAAUGUGACCCUGCUAACCCUGAAGUGUGAGUUAGACCUUUGAUGUUCAAGGGGAUUUGGAAUUAGGCAGACAGAGUUCAUCCAGCCUGAGACAGUAGGGUGUAAGUGACCACUGCAAACUCUCCCUUUCACUCAAACCAGGCCUGGUUUGCAACCAGCCUUCAAACCGUGAGGAACGGGUGUAGGAGAAUGUUUUUUUAAAUCUGGGUAGGAGGUGGCAAGAGGUCUGUUCCUUUUCAAAAAAAAAAAAAAGAAAAGAAAAAUUAAUGGAGGACAAACAGUAGAGAUAAAAGGGAAGAAAACGCUCCUUUUUCAUGUCUUUUCUCUUGUUUUUCAGUAAGAAGUUACCAUAUAUAGAGCAAUCACUGUCAACAUUAUCAUAUUAGCAUUUACUGUGCUGGAAAGUCUAACAAGGUAUAAAAUACUUCUGUGUCUUUGUCAAGUUAGCCAAAAAGAAACUUUUUUUGUGUGUUUGUAGAACAUGAAUGCUAUAAGGAAAAUGUUCUAGUCACAGGUGAAAAGCCUCAGUAGUUUUUUUCUCCACUUCUAGCAUUUUAAUUUCACUGCGGUUGUAGUAAUGUUCAAAUCUGGAGGAUGCCUCUGGAUGUGAGCAUUUCCACUGAGUACUUACAGCCACAUUACAAUUAAGUUAAUGUUCACAGACAGCACACCUGAAAAGGCACAGAAAGAAUUCAGUUUCUUUUGGGACAAGUAGGCAUUUAUGGUCAUGAGUGAAAAUCACCUCGGUCCAAAAAAUUAAACAAAAAAGCCCAGAGUAUUCUGUUCCUAGAACUUCAAAUUAAAUGUUUAAAACUGCAGAUUAAGGCUGAAGAGGAGUACAUGUCUUUAUGUUCCACUCAUGACAGGAAAGGCUUUGAUGCUGCAGAUAGGUCUUUGUCCCUUGGAGAUGCUGAUGCAAAUGUGCUUUGUUCAUGGAAUGGCCCUGGAAACAGUCAGAAAGGGGAGGAUCUUCUCUGCGCUGGCAACAAGGCAAAAACCCAAUUGCAGCUGUGCAGUGGCUAUUGCAUCAGCAGUGCAAGUCAACAUUUCCCCAGGAAUGUAAAGCCAUCUGUCACAUCCCUGCAACCUUUCUUGGUUACUCUCCCAGUGUGCUGCGCUGGCCUUUUUUUUUUCUGUCUGACACAGAACCUUUUAUUGGAACAUAUUUGAAAAGCUAAAUUCAGCAAAUGCAAGUUAUUAAAACUGUUUUUUAUAUGAUAAAAAUACAAAUGUGGGAGAUACUUUUUCACAAGUCAAAUUAUUGAACUGUGAUGUUUUGAGGAAACAGUUUCUCUCUUUAUUCUAAGAAUAAAUGAUUGUAGCAUACACGAUCAUUUAUUUAGAAAUAGGGUCAUUUCUUGUACUUUACUAAAUCUUGUCUUGAAAAGGUAGAAAAACAGAAAUAUCAAGAAGACUAUAUAUUAUGUAAUUGUAUACUGUCUUUGCUGAACUUUGAAAAGUUCUUUCAGUGCCCUCUCCUUGCUCUCAAUGCAAAGUAAUCUACUACCCACUGUUACUCUUAUCAGAUGUCUUUUCUGUGGAGUGGGCUAGCUCUGUUUCAGGAACAAAUUCUUGUGCUAGAUAAGGUCAAGUGAGAUAAGUUUUUGGAGACUGAGUUUUAAUCUUGCUUUGUUGUAAAUCAUGAGAAAGCAUGCUGAUUUUCAUCAGUGAGAAUUCUUACUUGGGCACCAAGUCUCCAGUGAUCACUUUGUAAUGUCACAAGUUAUUCAUAAUCUACUAUUGAGGUCACAGAAAAGUAUUCAUGUUUGGUUCUCUUAGGGAAUGUCUAGGCUUUGACAUUGUUUCUUUCUAGCUUUGUGCUUUAUGUAAUUAUAACAGAAUAACAUGCUUGGGGCACCUUUCAUUUUUUGUCCUGUGAGAGUUUAAUAAACCAUGAGAGGUAUUUUACAACAUGAUGAGUGCUCUUGUGCAAUGUUUCAUUGGCCACAAAUCCUCAAGUCACCUUCAGGAAUUCCAGAUGCCAGACUGAAGGUAUUUUUGCAGCUGUUCUAUGGGAGCUCAUGAAAGUGUUGCUCUCUUUAAAGGAAAUAAAAAAAGAAAAAUAAAGACCUUUUUAUAUACCAGUCCUUUUGACAGUUCUCUGUAAAGUAAGACAGAGGACAUAUAUCUGUUACAGCUGAAUGCUGAGUAUUUCAUCCAUAUGCCUGUGGAUACUUCAAAUAUCAUCUCCCUUGAAAAAUGCUUUUGCUGUAACAUUGAAGGAAGUGAACUCCUUUGAAUAGGAUAUAAUAUGCUCCAAGAUAAAAUGCUUUGAAUGGCUGUGCACUUAAUAAAGUAUUGCCUAAAGCAAUGCUAUCUUCUGACUAUUAUUAUUUUGUUUCACGAGUUGACUUUUAAAUUGAAUUCCCUGCCAUCUUUAUGUACUGGAGAACAUCUUGAAAAAAUCAAGCUACAAAUAGUGACUGUUUUCUAAAGGUCAAAGAAACUGUAAAGGAGGGAAAAAUAGUCAUUACUGAAAAAAUAAUAGUCAGGAAGCCCUGAAUAUUUAUAUACUGAUAU
ensembl:lncRNA